GAUGAACGCUGGCGGCGUGCUUAACACAUGCAAGUCGAACGAUAUCCAUUAGCAAUAGUGGUGAAAGUGGCGAACGGGUGAGUAACACGUAGGUAACCUGCCCUGAAGCGGGGGAUAACGGCUGGAAACGGUCGCUAAUACCGCAUGAGUCCAUUGAAGCGGGAGCGAGAUGGAGAAAAUCAAGGUGCUUCAGGAGGGGCCUGCGUCCGAUUAGCUAGUUGGCGAGGUAAGAGCUCACCAAGGCGACGAUCGGUAGCUGGUCUGAGAGGACGAUCAGCCACACGGGAACUGAGACACGGUCCCGACUCCUACGGGGGGCAGCAGUGAGGAAUAUUGGGCAAUGGGCGGAAGCCUGACCCAGCAACGCCGCGUGAAGGAUGAAGGCCUUCGGGUUGUAAACUUCUUUUGUCGGGGAAGAGAGAGGACGGUACCCGGCGAAUAAGUCACGGCUAACUACGUG
rnacentral:rRNA from 1 species